UACGUAGGGUGCGAGCGUUGUCCGAAAUUAUUGGGCGUAAAGAGCUCGUAGGCGGUCUGUCGCGUCGGUCGUGAAAACUUGGGGCUUAACCCUGAGCUUGCGGUCGAUACGGGCAUCACUGGAGUUCGGCAGGGGAGACUGGAAUUCCUGGUGUAGCGGUGAAAUGCGCAGAUAUCAGGAGGAACACCGGUGGCGAAGGCGGGUCUCUGGGCCGAUACUGACGCUGAGGAGCGAAAGCGUGGGGAGCAAACAGG
rnacentral:rRNA from 1 species